UUAAAAAGCACCAGGGGGAUUGCUAAAAUGCAGAUUCUGAUUUGUAAGCCUGGAGUGGGCUGAGAUUCUGUAAGUUUAAUAAGCUUCAAAGUGAUGCUCAU
rnacentral:pre_miRNA from 1 species